UCAUUAAUUAGAUAUAGGAAGAUGUGGUGUGAGUGCCAAUGAGACAACUCUCCAUACAAAUAACAAUUUAAAAAGUAAACCAUUAUAGGUUAAAGUUCGGCCUUCAACACGGAGCCUUAGCUCACACCGAACAACAAGCUAUAAAGGGCCCCAAAAUUACUAGUGUAAAACCAUUCAAACGGGAAAACCAACGGUCUAAUCUAUAUAAACAAAACGAGAAACGAGAAACACGUAUAUAUUACAUAAACAAACGACAACUACUGUACAUCAGAUUCCUGACUUAGGACAGGUGCAAACAUU
rnacentral:lncRNA from 1 species